ensembl:snoRNA
CUAAUCUUAGUAAUUGGUAGAACAACUAGGCAGAAAAUCAGCAAGGUUAAAGAAGACUUGAAAGGAGUUCUCAGGGCUGCCAACCUUACAGUAGAGGUUGAGUAGUAGUAUAUUUCUCCUACAUAG